rnacentral:lncRNA from 1 species
GGGCAGAGACCCACGUCCAGCUUGCUCCGUCCCUGGGAGGGAGAGGAGGCACAGGGUGACCCUGCUCCUGAGGACCCUCUGGCUCAGACCGAGGUGACAUCCCUCAUGGUUCCUCUGGCCAAAUCAACUCCACAAGACCCAUCUCUGGCCUGACUAGCUCCCUGGCAGGGCUGCAGCUCCCAGAGGCCAAACUCAGCAGCAGGAUUGAGCCUCCCCCUCACACCUGGCCCGUAUCUCACUUCCCAGCUGAAAGGAGCCCAGGCUCAAGCACAGCUGAGCUUGAGCAAGGUUUGUAGUGCAACGGCCAUUGGAGCAAGAUGGCAACAAACAGAGGCACAGGGCUCGGCUCUGGCAGUUUGAGCAGAGAGCUGGACCUGGGAAGUUCCCGUUUACAUAGGCAGGGAGCAGAGGGCCUUGCCUCCAUGGGGUGUGAUUGGUAGAGCUGAGCAUUGAUCCAGGGCAUGGAUCCCCCCGCAUUAUAACCAGCAGCUCUGACUCCAGGCUUGCUGGCUUUGGGAGGGCAGGGAGGGGGUAUGAGCCUGCCAGCCUCCCACUCCUCAGUGCAGGCAUUGCAUGUGCUCUGCUCUCAGACUCAGCAGGGUCCCGCUGCUGCUGCAGGCACCUUCCUUCCAGAGGUCUCCAGGGUCCCAGCUAGCUGGUGGUGUGCACGCAGCUUUGCAUCCCAGCAGAUAACGACACACCCACGCACACGUCAGGCACUUCCACGCUGAGUCCUUGCUAAAGUCCAAGCCCUGAGGACUCCGUCACCAGCCUGCGUGGAAGCCAGCGGCAGCUGUUGGCUGCGCUAUAAAUACAGGCCAGGAGGAGCAGCAGGCAGCACAGCAGAACAGCACAGGUGAGCUGCCUGGAAAGGGGAGCAACAGACAGCCUCACUCCUCUGGACAAAUGGCAGGGAGCUGGAGCUGGAGCCCUGGGACCAACCUCCUGGCUGGGCAGUGGUCCCUGUCCCUGGCCUUACUCAGCUCAGUGGCUUGCUGGGGAAAGGCU